AUUUCCAGACUGUAUUACCAUCAUUUGAGCUCUUCUCAAAGUAUGGAAAAUUAUAUUCAAAAGCUGGACAGAUUGUAUAAAGAGAGACAGGGUCUCACUCUGUUGCCCAGGGUGGAAUGCAGUGGCGUGAUCAUAGCUCACUGCAACCUCGAACUCCUGGGUUCAACUGAUCCUCCUGCCUCAGCCUCUUGAGUAGCUGGGAUUACAGGUGUCAGAAGAAGAAACUGAAGCCAUCUGCAUUUUAAAACUUAACAGUUCUGAAAGGAAAACACAGAUGAAGAUCCUGUAGGAAAUAUACUUGCUAUGAUUCUAUAAACUAU
rnacentral:sRNA from 1 species